rnacentral:piRNA from 1 species
UUGGACAAUGUGAUGACAUAGAGACCAUCA